UUAGGCAUGCAAGUCGAACGAGAAGCCUCCUUCGGGAGGUGGACAGUGGCAAACGGGGUAGUAAGGCGUAGGUAACGUACCCUGGGGACCAGGAUAGCUACGGGAAACUGUAGGUAAUACUGGAUGAUCUCUUGUUGCAUGAUCGCGAUGAGAGCAAAGGUGUGAUUCCACCCUGGGAGCGGCUUGCGUAGUAUUAGCUAGUUGGUGAGGUAACGGCUCACCAAGGCAUCGAUGCUUAGGGGGUGUUAGCGCAUGACCCCCACCACUGGGACUGAGAUACUGCCCAGACACCUACGGGUGGCUGCAGUCGAGAAUCUUUGGCAAUGGGCGCAAGCCUGACCAAGCGACGCCGCGUGCGGGAUGAAGGCCCUUGGGUUGUAAACCGCUGUCAGAGGGGAUGAAGUGCCGGAUGGUAAUUAAUAAUCCAUUCGGUUUGACAUAGCCUCAGAGGAAGCACGGGCUAAGUUCGUGCCAGCAGCCGCGGUAAUACGAACUGUGCAAACGUUAUUCGGAAUCACUGGGCUUAAAGGGUGCGUAGGCGGCUGUCUAAGCAGGGUGUGAAAGCCCCCGGCUCAACCGGGGAAUUGCGUUCUGAACUGGACGGCUGGAGUGGGAUAGGGGUGUGUGGAACUUCCGGUGGAGCGGUGAAAUGUGUUGAUAUCGGAAGGAACGCCGGUGGCGAAAGCGACACACUGGGUCUCAACUGACGCUGAGGCACGAAAGCAG
rnacentral:rRNA from 1 species